CCCUUCGGCCUAAUGGAUAAGGCACUGGCCUCCUAAGCCAGGGAGUGUGGGUUCAAGUCCCAUCCUAGGUGA
rnacentral:tRNA from 1 species